AUUUCAAAAUGCUCCACACAUUCUCUACUGGGGACAGGUCAGGAUUGCUGGCAGGCCGGUCCAGUACCCGUACCAUCUUCUUCUGCAGCCACGUCUUUGUAAUGUGUGCAGAAUGUGGUUUUGUAUUGUCUUGUUGAAAAAAUACAUGGACGUCCCUGGAAAACACGCCAGAAGACAGCAUAUU